GACAGAGGGUGCAAACGUUUGUUCGGAAUUACUGGGCGUAAAGCGAGUGUAGGCGGUCUCCUAAGUCGGGUGUGAAAGCCCCGGGCUCAACCCGGGAAGUGCACUCGAAACUGGGAGGCUAGAGUAUCGGAGAGGUUGGUGGAAUUCCCGGUGUAGAGGUGAAAUUCGUAGAUAUCGGGAGGAACACCAGUGGCGAAGGCGGCGAUCUGGGAAGAUACUGACGCUGAGGUGCGAAAGCGUGGGGAGCAAACAGG
rnacentral:rRNA from 1 species